GCAUCCGUAGCUCAGCUGGAUAGGAGUACUCGGCUACGAACCGAGCGGUCGGAGGUUCGAAUCCUCCCGGAUGCACCA
rnacentral:tRNA from 1 species